UAACGCGUAGGAACCUGUCGUUUGGUGGGGGAUAACGCUGGGAAACUGGCGCUAAGACCGCAUAAGCGUGCUCCUGUGAAAGGGAGGACGGAAAGCAGAGAUGUGCCGAAUGAGGGGCCUGCGUCCGAUUAGCUAGUUGGUGGGGUAAAGGCCUACCAAGGCGGCGAUCGGUAGCUGGUCUGAGAGGAUGGUCAGCCACACUGGGACUGAGACACGGCCCAG
rnacentral:rRNA from 1 species